AGCAAGAGCCCGGAGAUGGAUUCUGAGACACGAAUCCAGGCCCUACGGGGCGCAGCAGGCGCGAAAACUUUACAAUGCGGGAAACCGUGAUAGGGGAACUCCGAGUGCCCGUAAAAUCGGGCUGUCCACCAGUUUAAAUAACUGGUGAAGAAAGGGCCGGGCAAGACCGGUGCCAGCCGCCGCGGUAAUACCGGCGGCUCGAGUGGUGGCCACUAUUACUGGGCUUAAAGCGUUCGUAGCUGGUUUGUUAAGUCUCUGGGGAAAUCUUCCGGCUUAACCGGAAGGCGUCUCAGGGAUACUGGCAGACUAGGGACCGGGAGAGGUGAGGGGUACUCCAGGGGUAGGAGUGAAAUCCUGUAAUCCUUGGGGGACCACCUGUGGCGAAGGCGCCUCACCAGAACGGCUCCGACAGUGAGGGACGAAAGCUGGGGGAGCAAACCGGAUUAGAUACCCGGGUAGUCCCAGCUGUAAACGAUGCGCGUUAGGUGUAUCAGUGACCACGAGUCACUGAGGUGCCGAAGAGAAAUCGUGAAACGUGCCGCCUGGGAAGUACGGUCGCAAGGCUGAAACU
rnacentral:rRNA from 1 species